AGAAUCAACGCUGGCGGCGUGCCUAACACAUGCAAGUCGAACGAGAAAGUGGAGCAAUCCAUGAGUAAAGUGGCGCACGGGUGAGUAACACGUGACUAACCUACCUUUUAGUGGGGGAGUAACCUAGGGAAACCUAGGGCGUAAUACCGCAUAAUACCUACGGGUCGAAAGACAGCAAUGCGCUGAAAGAGGGGGUCGCGGCCGAUUAGCUAGUUGGCGGGGUAAUGGCCCACCAAGGCAUCGACGGGUAGCUGGUCUGAGAGGACGAUCAGCCACACUGGGACUGAGACACGGCCCAGACUCCUACGGGAGGCAGC
rnacentral:rRNA from 1 species